AGUUUUAUAGUUUAAAAAAAACACUAAAUUGCAAAUUUAGGAUUGAUAUGAUCUAAGACUU
rnacentral:tRNA from 1 species